CGGCGUUCGAAUUGUAGUCUGG
rnacentral:snRNA from 1 species